CAGCAGCCACGGUAACACGGAGGGGGCUAGCGUUGUUCGGAAUUACUGGGCGUAAAGCGCACGUAGGCGGCUUGGUAAGUUAGAGGUGAAAGCCUGGAGCUCAACUCCAGAAUUGCCUUUAAGACUGCCGAGCUAGCAGGUGAGAGAGGUAAGUGGAAUUCCGAGUGUAGAGGUGAAAUUCGUAGAUAUUCGGAAGAACACCAGUGACGAAGGCGGCUUACUGGCUCAUACUGGACGCUGAGGUGCGAAAGCGUGGGGAGCAAACAGGAUUAGAUACCCGAGUAGUCCCUGUCUCUUAUAC
rnacentral:rRNA from 1 species